UCACUUAUAAUUUAGAUAAUUACUUAUUUUUGUGGAAUGUGUGUGCAUUAUUAUUUUGUAUUUACUCAUUUAUACCAAGUCUUGAAUACAUACGUAUGGCGUGUUAUAAUUGUGACGAGAUUAUGUCGAUUUCACCGAUUCAAAAUCAUUCAAACCAAUUUCGAAAUAAAUCACAUACUUAUCGAUUCAAUGUCGAGCCCAUUUUCAAAAUACCUUUUGUAAGUCGAUUGCUUUUAAAGCAUCG
rnacentral:lncRNA from 1 species